GCGGAACAUUUUUGCGGGUUUCGGUCUUACAAAACAAAGCCCCCACACCACAGCUCAGUAUCCCACAAACAAAACUGUAGAUCGAUUCCAUCCUCCAUGAGUUCAACUUCAACUUCAAUCUCGGUCUUAUCCCAAGGCAGCGGCGUCGCCGCCUCCGCCGCCGCCGACAUGACCGACCUAGAGAGCAUAACCCACAUGCUGCAGUGGGUGGUGCCGUUCGCCUCGCCGCCGGCGGUAGAGCAGCUGGGGCGCGCGCUGUGGGGGCUGGGCUCCCUCACCCUUGUGCUGGCCCUCACCACCGUGCUCCACCAGCCGGCCGCCGGACCUGUCUUCGCCCACUACAAGGCCGCAUACUAUACCGUCCUUGCCUUCGUCCUCUUCGUCGCCGUGCCGGUGGAGCUGGGGAUCGCCUUCUGCCUGCCCCGCUGCAGCCACGGGCGCCGGAUCCAUCAUUUUGCCAGGGUUCUCGUCCCCUGCGCUUACCUGCUGCUCCUCGUCGUCAUCUCCGUCGGUGGAUUCGUCCCCUUUAAGCUCUGAACUACCUGCUGCUCCUCGUCGUCAUCUCUGCCGGUGGAUUCGUCCCCUUUAAGCUUUGAUCUACGUGCUGCUCUUCCUCGUCGUCAUCUCCGUCGGUGGAUUCGUCCCCUUUAAGCUCUGAUCUACGUGCUGCAGGGGUUGCUAUUCUUGGAAGUUAGUCUUGUACCUCAAGGAAAUGAAGCCAGUGGUUACGAACUUACGAUCUCUUUGUCGCACACCGUAAUUUGUUAUCUAUGGGGCUGUAGCCAGUGCUGAUUUAAUGCUCAAGCGCAGUCACAAUUUCCAGAUGAUCAGCACCGACGUCUUGCCAAAGCAGCACUCGACGUGUAAGGUCGGCUUCCCGCAGCGCGGCUUCUUCCACACGGUGGUGCAGUUCGUGUGCUCGCUCGAUGUGUCAGGUCGGCUUCCCGCAGCGCGGCUUCUUCCACACGGUGGUGCAGUUCGUGUGCUCGCUCGAUGUGUCAGGUCGGCUUCCCGCAGCGCGGCUUCUUCCACACGGUGGUGCAGUUCCUGUGCUCGCUCGACGUGCUCGUGAGUGAGGCCGAGGCGCUCCGGCAGGGGUUCAAUGAGUACUCCAGCUGGCCCACCUGGCCGCAGCAUUGCAUUGACGAAAAGGAGGAUGACCCCCGGCCUCUGCAUAACAAGUGCUGAUGUAUAGCUCAAGAUCUUGCUGCUCUUGUCUCUUGAAAUUGCAAAAUGAGUUCGGGUUGCUCCAAGCAAAAAUAGUGGUCCCUGAGGAUAUGAGAUGGAAGCAGGAAUAGUUGCGCUUGUCUGACAAGUCACUGAAUCUCUUCCCCAGGCCUAAUUGCAGCGGUCACCCUUUGUCACUAAGCACCACAUGCUACUGCCCAAGUUUUUGAACUGUACGCCUCUGUCUAUCUACUAGACAUGCGUGCCCCUUAUAUUUUGUUGUACUGCUGAUAUUUCAUCAAGAAAAACAUCAAGCUACUGCGUGUUAUGCUCUCACUCUGUGGCCUGCGGGACAAGGAUGUCAAGAAUGCUUUUGGUGUCUCACAUAAUACGAACAGCAAAAGGUGUACUCUGCUUUCUUGUUUACCGCGGCCACAAUUUCCAAGUGGUCUGCAUUGACGUCUUGCCAAAGCAGCGCUCAACGUUUCUGGUCGGCUACCCGCAGUGUGGCUUCUCCCACAUGGUGGUGCAGGUUCUGUGGUUGCUUGUUGUGCCCUUCGAAACGCUCAAUGUGCUCGCUGACGAGGCGCUCCAGCAGUGGCUCAAGGAGUACUCAAGCUGGCACACCUCCCCGCAGCUCUACAUCGAAUUCGAGUUCUUCAGAGGGUGUGACAUCACAGUUGGUAUGUAAAUAUGAGGUUUGCUCUCUGGCUCUGCCUUCCCUUCUCCCACGAUUAUGGCAGUCUCAAAUGUUUAAUGGUUUAUUUCUUCACAUUCAGUAGGAUUGGAGUGCACAUGGCACUCUGUACCGGUGGAAUAUAUGCUCUCUGCCUUUCCUUCUCCCAUGAUUAUGAUUACGGUUCAAAAUUUGACUCUGCUGUAGUAGUACACGCCGAUGUUCGUUAUGAAUUGUUCCGUGAGAAACCUGUUCUUUGCAUCAGAGCAUACUAAUUCAUUCGAUGAUUGGAUGUACUUUUAGAUGAGGGCAACAUUGGUAGAUUUGACAUAUGGGGGAGUGGCAUUGUUUCAUAGUAGUUGAGUUCUUCACAUUCAAGAGAUAAACUAGGAUUGGGUUGCACUCGGCCCUCUGUUGCAGCGG